rnacentral:rRNA from 1 species
CCUACGGGAGGCAGCAGUGGGGAAUAUUGCACAAUGGGCGCAAGCCUGAUCCAGCCAUGCCGCGUCUAUGAAGAAGNCCUUCGGCUUGUAAAGUCCUUUCAGCCUGGGAGGAAGGCCUUA